GACGAACGCUGGCGGCGUGCUUAACACAUGCAAGUCGUACGGUAAGGCCCUUUCGGGGGUACACGAGUGGCGAACGGGUGAGUAACACGUGAGUAACCUGCCCACAACUUUGGGAUAACGCUAGGAAACUGGUGCUAAUACUGGAUAUGUGCUCCUGCUGCAUGGUGGGGGUUGGAAAGCUCCGGCGGUUGUGGAUGGACUCGCGGCCUAUCAGCUUGUUAGUGGGGUAGUGGCCUACCAAGGCGGCGACGGGUAGCCGGCCUGAGAGGGUGACCGGCCACAUUGGGACUGAGAUACGGCCCAGACUCCUACGGGAGGCAGCAGUGGGGAAUAUUGCACAAUGGGCGCAAGCCUGAUGCAGCAACGCCGCGUGCGGGAUGACGGCCUUCGGGUUGGAAACCGCUUUCAGCAGGGACGAAGCUUUUUGUGACGGUACCUGCAGAAGAAGCACCGGCUAACUACGUG
rnacentral:rRNA from 1 species